rnacentral:rRNA from 1 species
AUACGGAGGAUCCGAGCGUUAUCCGGAUUUAUUGGGUUUAAAGGGUGCGUAGGCGGACGAUUAAGUCAGCUGUGAAAUGCCCGCGCUUAACGCGGGAAGUGCAGUUGAUACUGGUUGUCUGGAGUGCCGUUGCCGAGGGGGGAAUGUGUAGUGUAGCGGCGAAAUGCAUAGAUAUUACACAGAACGCCGAUUGUGAAGACACCUCACGAAGCGGUAACUGACGCUGAGGCACGAAAGCGUGGGGAUCGAACAGGAUUAGAUACCCUGGUAGUCCACACAGUAAACGAUGAAUACUCGCUGUUUGCGAUAUACAGUAAGCGGCCAAGCGAAAGCAUUAAGUAUUCCACCUGGGGAGUACGCCGGCAACGGUGAAACUCAAAGGAAUUGGCGGGG